GAUAAUGAGCAUUUUAAAAGAUUGCACAUGAAAACCUUAUUCAGGUUCACAAACCAAGUAGAUGGCUACGACGCUAUCUGUGGCGUCCCUUGGUCCCUUCUCCCUGGAACAAACGUUCUUGACGGUCCAAUAGUUAUGGACUUAUCUGGGUUUAUACAUAACCAGGAAGCAUAAGCUUGUUGUGCAUACAUUGUUCGGAAAAGUCAUGUACUUAUCAUAGGUAAGCUGUUGGUAUCGACUCUCGGUUGCACUUGAGAAUUUUAUUGACUCUAAAACAGAGUUAAAAUGUUUUAGAUGUCAUGAUGUUGUACUAUAAUGUAUUCAGCUCCUUACUUCCCUCAUUAUAACUGAAUAUGUGUGAAUUAUCUAACUCCAAAAGUUCUGUUCUGGGGACAGCUCGCUUGUUCUCAAAGAAAUCUUUGGAGUUAUAGAGUAUGGCUAAAUCUUUGUUGUGCAUUAUCAUCACAAAUUUUAUACCUCAACUGGUGCUUUCAAUAUACUGCCAUAACCAUUUUUUCUUAUCCUAUUUUCAUCUAAGAAGUGAAUGAGCUCGAGAAGGUGUUCUACAAGGCCCCACGCCCCUUGUCCCUUCCCCUGCUUCUCCACCGCCGCCUCUUUCUCUGCCAAAUCCACAUCACCGCCGUGCCCGUUGCUGGGACAGGACAGGGGUGGAUGCGAGGGAGAGAGGGGAGUUGCCUCGGCAGCGCCGCCUAGCAGUGUAUGAGGUGUCUAGAGGAGGGCAGUGCGGCAGGGUAAAGUCCUCUCCCACUGCAGAGCAGUCCACGGCGCAGUCACUGUCGUCCUCACCUUCUAGCCGUCUGUGAUGUCGUCGCCAUCGCCAAGCCCCCUCGCCACGCGGUACACAUAGAUGGGAGAAGCGGUAGGAUGCAGCAGCUCGCAGAUUCCUUGGUCGCUGCUGAUGCCAAGCAAGAAGACAAGGUGGGAAGGCGAAGCGGGUUGGAGGAAGAAGCCAUGCAAACUUGGUGAGAGAGGAGAUGGGGUAGGGCAAGAAGCUGUGUGGGACGAUUUGGCACUGGUGGACGCCUACGAUCACACCGUCGCCACCUAAAAGGACAUGUCUCAGAAUCCCCCAUGUCAACAACUGGUAGCCAAAGAUCUUCAUGGAACUGAGUGGCAUUUUCAUCACAUUUUUUGUGGUGAUUUUACAAUUUGAGUAUUCAGCUUGAACACCCUUUAAACUUUCCAUCGUUCUGUUAUUGUUUUCGUAUAGCGGUAGAUGUCACAAUUGAAUGUUGAAUUCUUGUCACUGCAGAAAAUUGCAGCACAUAGUGAUUCAUUACUUCUUGAAUA